AGGUACACAUGUUCCUUAUGAUAUGAUCAUUUCUAAUUUUUAUGCCAAAUUAGAUAUUUUACCUAAUUUCACGGUCCUUUGAACAUUGAAAAUGAUAGUGCGAUUGGGGCAUUCGUGUACUGUGGACUUAUUCUUGUUUAAAAUAUACUCUCAUCCUCCUGUAUUUAGGUUAAAAAGAUUUAUCAAUUUGAAUUCAACAAACUGCCACUUGAAACGACAGUGAAUUAGGCAUUGUCACUGAUGCAACGGUAAACAGUAGCUCCUUCUGUACUGUAAAUUAAGAAUCAAUACAACAUUGAAUUGUGAAUUGUAGCCCCUAAUUUACUGUAGGUUAUUAUAAGAAUUUAAACAAAAAAAGUGGGCUGUUAAUCAUGUGUUCCAUUCCAUAUCCUGACAAUUUGACAGUGGAUUUGCAUGAUGUGUGAUGCAUGCAUAGUAAAUGUUUACUCUGCUGACAGAUGGUGUAGCCUUUUUUGAAAUUCAUGCAAAUGCAUCCAUUUUUGUUUUGGGUUUCCCCUUGAUUUGAAUUUUCUUAAUGAAUUGUUGAGAUUUUAACAUAAGUAAGCUACCUGUAAUUGAAAAAGUAUUUAGUGAAGCUAACAAGAACAAAAUUCAAAUCAAGUUCUUCAGUGGUAUAUUUAAUUUAUUCAAUAUUAAUAGCCAAAGGUGAUUUGCGGCAAUCUCUCUAAAGAAACAGAAACCCUCAGUGCAUGACUUUGGCGAUUAUUAUUCAUCACAUGAAGAAUGUAGAAAUAUUUGUUAUGUUUAUGUAUUGAUAUUGUUAUCAGGAAAUUUUUUACGUUUUCAAUUAACUUUAUAUGUUUCAAUGAAGUAUUGGUAAAUAUUUUAACUAUUUAUCAAAUAUGGUCAGCUUAAAAAAUUGUAUAGUUUUGUUGGAUAUUGAUGAAGAAUAAACAAAUAUUGUUGAGAACAUGUAUUUAAUUUAAUUAUUUAUAAAGGGUUUAGUCCAUAUGAACCAGAGGGUCAGUGAAGCUAUAGACAAUUGCAAUCAAUUGGUCAUAUUAAGUCAUCAAAGGGGAUAUGGUCUAGUAAUUACUAUACUGUUUAUCAGAACUACUCAUUUAAUAAAAGAAUCAUAGAUUGUGUCAUGUACUAUACCAAUGUUCGAAAUUCAUAAAUCGAUUGAGAAAAAAAAACAAAUCCGGGUUACAAACUAAAACUGAGGGAAACACUUCAAUAUAAGAGAACUUUCAACACAACAGAAACACAACACUAAAAUGUAACACACAGAAACAAUGUAUAAUAUAAUAAUGACCAUUUUCCUGACUUGGUACAGGACAUUUAAAAAAAUAGCCAAAUCUCGAGCUUUAAUAGCAAUGUUCAAUAUAACAUUAAAAAACAUUUUAAGGGUUCUUGCCUUCUUUUGCUGUUAAUUGCAGGCUAAACAAAAAUGAGGGGAAAAAAAUAAUAAUAUUCCCCUUGAUACUAUCUUUUGAUUGAAAGAAGCUCCUGGCCAAGUUUGGUAAAAAUCCAUUUUUCUUUUUGAUUCAAUGACAAAUAAAAACCAAUGUUCGUUGGAACGACAUUUCCAAUUGGUGUCAUAAUUGAGGAUUCAUUUUGAUCUUGCAGGCCUCUACGAAAAUUGAACCACAUAUGUGACCCGCCAUGACAUUUCCUGGCUUAUGGAGGUAGAACGUAGUUGUUAGAAAAAUUAUAAACAUGAUCAAUAUUGUGAAGAAGAGAUAAACACUUUCCUUGGCUUCUUUUUUGCGGACGCCGAACUAUACAUCAUAUAUAAGAUUUGAAGAAGUUUUACUUUAUCGUUUGAAGUUAAAAAUAUUUGAAUUAAUUUUAAAUUGAUACACAAAAAAAAAAAUCAAAAUUCUCUGCUCUAUGGAUUUUCUUUCAUAAAUGGAGUCUAAAAUAUAUCCAUAACAAAUGCACCGUAUCAAAUGCAUAUAGAGACACCAGUCCUACUUAUAAACUGUUACGCGUCACAUACUAUGUAUAGAGACAUGCAUAAUAAAUCUCAAUUAAAAGAAGGAAUUCUUAAAAGAGGGACGAAAGAUACCAAAUGGACAGUCAAACUCAUAAAUCUAAAACAAACUGACAACCCCAUGGCUAAAAAUGAAAAAGACAAACGAAAAACAAUAGUACACAUGACACAACAUAGAAAACUAAAGAAAAUACAACACGACCCACAAAACUAGGGGUGAUCUCAGGUGCUCCAGAAGGGUAAGCAGAUCCUGCUCCACACGUGGCACCCGUCGUGUUGCUUAUGUGAUUACAAAUCCGGUAAAUAGUCUAAUUCGGUAGGUCACAUUCAUGAAAGGGAAAGGGAUCGUAGUUACGACGUAAGGAACAUAUCGAUAUCAUUUGUGAAACGGUUAUUUCAUAACGGUCAACCAACUCGUGAUGGCGUCCGUAAAAUUUACGAAGGGAGAUUUUACUUCACAUUUGGAACUCUUGGUUUUAUAGUUCCUUUGACAGUAACCCUCUAUCAAGAAAUCAUGAUAGGAAAUGCAAGCAGGGAAUAUCGUAUCAAUUGGGAGAUAUAUACCCCGUAUGCAGGUGCUGCUGGAAUGUUGCUACUAGAAAUGGAAAGUUCACAAUUGGAAAGCUGAAAUCAUCUCUUUUGUCGUAAAGUUUUGUUUUCAACCGACCCGCAUUAUCAAUUUUUAGAUGUAAGUCAAGAUAUGAAGCCGACUUAACUGUAUCUGUAGUAUCCUUUAUCUCCAAUUCGAUGGAUAGAUGCGUUCCAAUAGUCACCAAAUUUUGAAUUGUUUAGUGAAAGAAUGUCAUCUAUAUAGCGGAAAGUAGAGUUAAAGGAUAUUGCUAACUUCUUAUCUUUCUUCCUAAGAAGUUCCAAAAAAAGCUUACUUUGACAAAUUUUAAACUAACUUCAUUUCAACAAGUUUAAAUUACAUGUUCUAAAAUAGAGCUACAAAAAAAAUGCUCUGCUCUAUAGAUUUUCUUUCAUAAAUAUAUCCAUAAUAAAUGCACUGUAUCAAAUGCACAUAUGAAAACACCAAGAAUAUACUGUCGCGUCGCAUUCUUUGUAUAGAGACAUGCAUGAUAAAUCUAUUAAAGACAAUUAAAAAAAAAAAUGAGUUCUUAAGCUUCUUUUACAAAUUAUAAACAACUUCGUUUCAACAAGUUUAAAUUAAUGUUCUAAAAUGCUAAAAUUAUAUAUUGUAGUAUUUAAAAUUUAAUUCUUUGAAAUUUUAUUCAAAUACGCUAUUGAACAUCUAAGAGCCAAUUAAUACAAUAAUUUUUUGUAUUUAGUGCCUUCAAUAAAUGAACUCGUCAUAUGAACAGUCUCAUUUUCAUACCGGUAUUCGAAAUGACUCGUUUCAUUGCUAUUACAACAAAUAUUCAUAAACAUGACAGAGUUUUGUUUCGGAAUAUUAUAUAGACAAAUAUACAAAAAGCAAAUUUUAAACAAUGUACCCUCCUAAGCCUGGAAGUGGCUAGUCACAUAUAGUUAACGGCGUUUUUUCUCACAAUGAUGUUCUACCACCAUAAGCUGGAUAUGUCGCUGUUGGCAAUAUGUGUUAAUGUCUCACUUUCGUGGAAAAUGAACACCAAGUAUUUGAAUCAAAGUUUUGUAUAGUAUAAAAUGAUCAAUGUCUUUUUGAGGGGUUCAGUUUUCCAUGGUGAGAGGGGUCAAAAUACCAGAGGUGGACGAAAAAAAAUAAGUUAUGAUGACAUCGUAAGUUUCUUAGUAAAUACUUCAAUGGUGUUUUUAGAUGAAAUACUGCAAUUCCAAUGUAAGUUUUAUGGUCAGCAUGAUGAAUUGCCUGCAAUUCAUACAAUGUAAGUUUUAUGGUCAGCAUGAUGAAUUGAAUGCCCGACGAAUUGGUUGUCUAUGUCUCAUCCCAACAGCGACAUGUUUUCGUUGUUUUAGAUCUUUAGAUACAAAAAAAGUCAUAGUCGUCUAAUCAGUAAUGUUAUCGAAUGUGUCCUUUUGCCCAUUGUGACAUUUUAUUUUGUCACAAUCUAUUAUGAAUUUAAAUGUUAAACAGAUAACAUUAUCUUAUUUUUUACGCAGAGAUUAACAAAACCAUGAAAUCAAAUAUCCGCAAAAAUUCAAGAUUUCCCCUAUCCACAAAAAAUUGAUACCCAUGAAAAUAAAGGAAUCAACAGUUUAUCAGAACACAAAAAAAAAUAAUUUAUAAACAGAAAUCUACUGAGAUAAAGCAGCUUGUUUACUCAUAAAGAAAUCAUUUUUAACCUUGGCUUAUCUUAGAUUUACAAGUUUUUUAAAUAACAGUUGUCCUCGCCCUUCAAUAUGUGUUAAUUAUGAAGUGUUAAGUCAAUAUGAACAAAUGUCAUCAGUCAGCACGAACAAACAUCCUCAGACCAAUGAGAUAAAUGCAUGUGGGAUUACAAGUCUUAAAUAUUUCAAAAGAACUGUUGAGUAACAUUACAAUUAAUUUGUAUGCCCCACCUACAAUAGUAGAGGGGCAUUAUGUUUUCUGGUCUGUGCGUCCGUCCGUUCGUUCGUCUGAGUUUCCGUCCAUGCGUCCGUUUGUCCGUCUGUCCCGCUUCAGGUUAAAGUUUUUGGUCAAGGUAGUUUUUGAUGAAGCUGAAGUCCAAUCAAUUUGAAACUUAGUACACUUGUUGCUUAUGAUAUGAUCUUUUAGACUUUUGACCCCAAUUUCAAUGGCACUGAAAUAGAAAAGAAAGUGGAGUUUCAGUUAAAUUUUUGUCAAGGUACACAUUCCUUAUGAUAUGAUUUCAAAUUUUAUCAAAUAGACUUUUACCUAAUUUCACGGUCCUUUGAACAUUGAAAAGGAUAGUGCGAGUGGGGCAUCCGUGUACUGGGGACACAUUCUUGUUUAAGAUAUACUCUCAUCCUCCUGUAUUUAGGUUAAAAGAUUAUAAUUCUGAAUUCAACAAAUGCCAUGAAACGACAGUGAAUUAGGCACUGUCAUGAAUGCAACAGUAAACAGUAGCUCCUAUGUACUGUAAAUAUAAGAAUUAAUACAACAUUGAAUAUGUAGCUCUAUUUACUGUAGGUUACUAUAAGAAUUUAAACAAAUAAAGUGGGCUGAUGUUUAUCAUGUGUUCCAUUCCAUAUGCUGACAAUUUGACAGUGGAUUUGCAUGAUAUGUGAUGCAUGCAUAGUAAAUGUUUACUCUGCUGACAGAUGGUGUAGCCUUUUUUGAAAUUCAUG
rnacentral:lncRNA from 1 species